AAUUCUUACACUUUUAUAUUUUUUGGCCACCUCCCUCACCGAUGACUUUUUGGACGAACCCCAAAACCCCAUUUCAUUUUCCCAUUUUUUUAAGCAAAGAACCACACAAAAAGAGUCACUAGACCAAACAGUCAUCUUGUUCAUAGCUGCUGCCAGCAACUCUCUCCAGACACUGCGAGCUCUUCUUAUUCCCACAUCUACAAACAAGCUCUAACUGAAACCAUUCAUCGUCUUCCCCACAUUAGCAAACAAAACACCACUGAAAUAACCACCACAACCCACUCCUAAACCUGACGCAAACCUCAACCAACAACCCCCAAAAAACGAUCAACACAGUCUAAAAACCGGAGUAGCAACCACAAAACAAGCCUUAGUUCAUCCGUUUUUUCCCUUUCCAGAUCCACCACAAACCCCAUACCCUCUCCCCUUUACAUUUUCUAUCUCAGUUUCUUUGCAGGUGAAUGAACCAUCAAGAUAUUAGCUCCAUAAAAUUGAAGAGAGCUUUGAGGCUUAUCGAAAGAAAAUAACCAACUCUAGCGAAAUCGAGAUUGAGAGAGCUCUCUGUCAUCCUUUUUUACCAAGGCCGGACUUUUCUAUACUCAACCAUUUUUGGAAUGAUCAAAAAUUUAUUGGUUCGUCAUCCCCUUGGGUUCCCACUCAUUCAAAAUCAUUCUUGGUCAGCUAAUUUUAGAACCUUUAUUAUCUCAGUAUAUUCUCUAUUCGAGUUACAAUCUUUUGCAACUACUAUUAACUUGAUUCCUUUUUCAACGGGAUACGUAAUCGUUACAAGGGCUCUGUCAUCUUCCCUGUAAGCUUUCAAAAAUAUGAAAACGGAAACUGGGGAAAACUUUUUUGAGGAGGUCUCCAAGAAUUUUUACAAACGAGAUAGUACAAUAUUAAAUAUCGGAGGUUGUUGAAGCCGAAAAAGGGACAAAAUUUUUAUGGAAUGUAUUUAAAACUUUCACCAAGUUUGUACACAGACAUUCAGAAUUUUUGAGGCUUCACUCCGAGUUGGUUUGUAUAUUUUUUCAUUAAUUUUUUUAAAUGAUGUCACAUUCAUUGUAUAUCUUUGAUUUUUAUUAUAUUCCAUUGAAAAUGUUACAUUAAUUGACAUUUUUUAAGUUGGGUUGUCCGCCCUCCAAUAUGACUCAUUCAAUUUUUUUAGUUUUGCCAUUUUUUCAUUAAUUAAUAAUUCUUUUGGUUUUGUUUUUGUUAAGUUUGGGUAGUCCGCUCUUCAACGUGACUCAUUAAUUUCUUUUUUUUUGUGGCUUUGGUUAAAUUUGGGUUGUCCGCCCUUCAAUGUGAUUCACUGAUUUCUUCGUUCUUGUUCAGUUUUUUUGAUUAAUAAGAAAUAUUUUUUGUUAAGUUUAGGUUGCCCGAAUUUCAAUGUGGCUCAUUGGUUAUUUAUUUUCAAUAUUUUUCCUUUCAAAAAUUAAUUUGUUGUUUAUAGAUUUUAUGUCAUUUCUGGAAGACCUACGCAAACCUGAUUCUCAUCAAUGAGAACUGUAGGCAUCCCUUAUUGAGUUCAAUAUUAUUUAUUCAAAAGAUCUUCUUAUUUUUUAUUCUUUUAAUAUUUAUAUUUUUGAAAUUAUUUUUUGACUUUGUUACUGUCAACACAAUUCAAGUGUGCAUGUGAAAAUAAUUUAUACAGUAAAGAAGACUGAUUUCUUUUAAAACCAUAGAAUCUUUUUUGUUCCUCUCGUUCAUACUUUUUUCACACUUGUAAAAUUCUCUUAUAUACAUUCAAGAUUAGAACAAAAUAAGAUUUAUUGUUUCAUGUGCAUUGUGUGGUGAAUUUUGAAAUAAAUUCAAUUAUUUUGCAUUGUUGAUCUAGAACUUGGCCUAAACGUUAUGGAGGCGAAAUUCUUAGUAAUAUUUUAUUUGAAAACUUAUUAUAAGCCUUCUUUGAGAUUUUUGAGCCUUUCAAAGCCUACAAAAUGACAUAUACCCUUAGUGUGUCCUACUUUGAGCCUUAAGCCUUUUAUUUUUACCACAUCUUAGAGUAUACCCUUUGUAAGUGUUGUUACGCACUAUCUCUCUUUUUGCCUGAUUUUCUCGGGUACACUGAAGGCAUGCAAGUUAUAAGAGAAAAUUGAAAGUCCAUUUUGUAAAACACAAAAGUUAUCAAAUAUCGUGAAUGUCAAGAAAACAAAAAUGACUUCAAAAGAACGAAAAAAAAAGCAAGUGUUCAAAAUUCCCCAUAAGUUUUAGCGAACAGAAUUUGAAGAAAAGAAAAUAAACACUCCAAAGAAAAAGAAGAGAAUUCAAAAGGGAAAAACUCAGACAAAAAAGGUUCCAAAGAAUUCAAAAGUUCAUAAGGAAGGGACAACAAAGAGAAUCAAACGCUAAAAGCGUAAUAAAUGUUGAAAGCAUCUAUUUAGUUGCAAUGCUCAAGAAGGAAAUAAGUCACUUUUAUCCCAAAUGACUAUCCUACCCGUCCCUAAGCCUACAUUACAACCAAUUAACAAGCCCUACAUGAUUUCAAUUCAAAUGACACUAGUGGAGAUUUACAUUAAGUUCAAGCAUAUGGUAUCACAAUUGCAUGCGUUGAACAUUUUUAUGAGUAUGAGUAUUUUUUUCAGAUGCUCCCAAAUCAAAACACUUUAAAUGUGCAAAAAUUAAAAAUUUCUUUCUUGUGAGGACACUUGAAAUAUGAUGAUAGGUCUAGUUCAAAGACUUUGUCUGAAGCAAGCUGAACAAAUUUUGUCGUUACUUAACAACAUUUGAGGUACCACUUGAAUCUAUAGGAAUUGCCUUGAAAUCAAUGUCAGUAAAAAAUUAGAAUUGCGAGAUAUUUGUAUAAUACUUCUGUUAGUGCUAACCAAGAUAAAGUAUGUUUCAUUGUUAAUAAAAUAAAAAUAAUUAUCCACUUUUAUGAUUUUUGUCCAAACAACUCUGUAGACUGUUGCACUGUUGAUAUCUAUCCAAAUAUGUUUGUGGACCAACUGAUAGUUAAAAUUGCAUUUUCGGUAGUCAUACUCUUCAAAACGACAUUUUUUUUAUUUUUGGUUGUCAUACUGUUCACGUUGACAUCAUUUUAUUUUUAUGCUCCAUGUUGGUCUAGACAACUUUGUUGGCUGUUUCAUAGUUGAUAUUUGUCCAAAAACAUUUGUGCACUGUUUUGAAGUUCAAAUUGCAUUUUCGGUAUCAUACCUUUCAAAAUGACAUCUUUUUAUUUUUUGUUGUCAUACCUUUCUAAUUAUUAUCAAUAUAUAUUUAUGUCCCAUAUUUUUUCAUAACAACUAUGUGUACUGUUUUAUUUGAUAUUUUAUCCAUACCAACUUUCUGUACCGUUUCAUUGUUGAUAUUCGUCCAAAUAACUUUGUGGACCAUUUCAAAUUUCAUAUUGCAUUUUUGGUACUCAUACCCUUCAAAAUGAUAUCUUUUUAUUUUUCGGUAGUCAUACCAUUCAAAAUGAAAUCUUUUUAUUUUUCGGUAGUCAUACACUUCUAACUUACAUCUUUUUUAAUUUUAGUAGUCAUACCCUUUAAAAUGACGUCUUUUAUUUUUUGGAUCAUCAUAUCCUUCAAAAUGACAUUUUUUGGGGUCAUCUAACUUUUUUUUUAAUUGUCAUACCUUCAAAAUGACAUUUCCUUGAAUUUGGAUAGUCAUACUCUUCAAUGACAUUUUUAUGUCGUCAUACCUUUCAAAAUGAUAUCUUUUAGAAAUUAAUUUAUUAUCUAAAAUAAAUUAAUUCUUUUCAAAUUGGUUUGUCAUGCUGAUCAAUAUGACACUUUUUAUUGUGUUAUUUCUUAUUAAAUUGACAUUUUAUUUAAUUCAUGAUGUUAUUAAGGUUAAAUCGUCACGUUGGUUAAUACAUUGUCCAAUGGUCAUGUUUGCAUAAUUUAUGUCAUAUUUUCUACUAACAUUGAUAUUGCAGAUUUUGUAAUACAUCAUUCAUGUUAAGUUCAAAUUGGCUCGUCCGCCUUUCCAAGAGACACGUUGGGUUGUCAUCUCCCAUAAAAAGACAUGUUCAAGUUGGGAUGUCCUCUUUUCAAAGAGAUAUGUUGGAUUGUCAUCUCCAUUCAAAUGACAUGUUAAGUUCAAGUUGGGUUCUCCCUUCAAAUGAAACAUUAAGUUCAAGAUUUCGUUGUCAUCUCCCUUCAAAUUACACGUUGAGUUCAAAUUGGGUCAUCCGCCUUUCAAAGAGACAAGAUUGGGUCGUCAUCUUCCUUCAAAUGACAGGUUGAGUUCAAGUUGGGUCGUCCGCCUUUCAAAGAGACAUGUAAGGUUGUUACGUAAUUCUAAGUGGCAUGUUAAGUUCAAGUGGGGUCGUCUUCUUUACAAAGAGACACGCUGGGUUGUCAUCUCCCUUCAAAUGACAUGUUCAAGUUGGAUUGUCCGCCUUUCAAAGAGAUAUGUUGGGUAGUCAUCUUCCUUCAAAUGACACACUAAGUUCAAAAUUAAGUUUUCACUCCAUUCUAAUAACAUGUUAAGUUCAAGUUGGGUCGUCCUCCUUUAAAAGAGGCAUGUUGGGUUGUCAUCUCCCUUCAAAUGACAUGUUAUGUACAUGUUGGGUCGUCUGCCUUUCAAAGAGACAUGUUGGGUUGUAAUAUCCCUUCAAAUGACAAAUUAUGUUCAAUAUUGGCUUUUCAUUUCCCUUCAAAUGACACAUUGAGUUCAAAUUUGGUCGUCCGCGUUUCAAAGAGACAUGUUGGGUAGUCACAACCUUCAAGAAAAACAUUAAGUUCAAGAUUUGAUUGUCAUCUUCCUUUAAGUGGCACUUUAAGUUAAAGAUUGGGUUGUCAUCUCCCUUAAAAUGACACUUUAAAGUCAAGAUUGGGUUGUAAUCUAUCUUCAAAUGACAUGUUAUGAUGAAAUCAGGUCAUCCACCAUUCAAAGAGACAAAAUUGGGUCGUCUUCUCAAUUCAAAUGACAUGUUAAGUUCAAGUACAAUCGACCGCCUUUCAAAAAUAUAAGUUGGGUUGUCACCUUGUUCAAAGUGGAAUGUUAAGUUCAAGUUGGGUCGUCCGCCUUUCAAAGAGAUAUGUUGGGUUGUCGCCUCGUUCAAUAUGACAUGUUAUUCGCAUCAUCCUUCUUUCAAAAAGGUACACCACCUUCAUUGUGAUAUUUUGAAAGUAAUAUCAAAGGUAUGUGAAUAUUGUAAGUUUACAAUUAAUGUUUGUCUUUUGUUCAUUA